rnacentral:rRNA from 1 species
UACCAGCACCCCGAGUGGUCGGGACGAUUAUUGGGCCUAAAGCAUCCGUAGCCGGUUCUACAAGUCUUCCGUUAAAUCCACCUGCUUAACAGAUGGGCUGCGGAGGAUACUAUAGAGCUAGGAGGCGGGAGAGGCAAGCGGUACUUAGUGGGUAGGGGUAAAAUGUGUUGAUAUCAUCAGGAACUCCGGUGGCGAAAGCGGCGUGCUGGACCUUUUCUGACGCUGAUGCGCGAAAGCCAGGGGAGCAAACGGG